GAAGAUUCCAACAACAUAUCCAUGGUGCUGAAAGUCUCAGUUUGUUGCCUGGUGGGAGUGCAGUGAUGUGAUCUCGGCUGACUGCAACCUCUGCCUCCAAGGUUCAAGUGAUUCUCCUGCCUCACCGUCCAAGGGUUUACCGUGUUUCCCAGGCUGGACUGGAACUCCAGAGCUCAAGUGAUCCUCCCGACUUGGCCUCCUUAAGUACUGCAGUUAGAGAUUCCAUUUUGGAUGCUCCCAUUGGGACUGUGUGUCCCUGUGCUGGAACGCAAGUGAACACUUGGCUCAAAAUCCAUUGCUGUUCUCUAGAAAUCCAGCCCAAUUCUCUUGGUUAAACAUAAGGUAUGUGCAGUAGGCAUUGCUCUUUCUCUUUAGAGACAAA